AACGUAGGGGCAAGCGUUGCCCGGAUUCACUGGGCGUAAAGCGGGUGUAGGCGGUUCCUUAAGUCGAAUGUGAAAUCCUGCGGCCUAACCGCGGAACUGCAUCCGAUACUGGGGAACUUGAGACGGUAGAGGUCGGUGGAAUUCCAGGUGUACCGGUGAAAUGGGCAGAUAUCUGGAGGAACACCAGUGGCGAAGGCGGACCGACUGGGCCGAUCCUGACGGCUAGACC
rnacentral:rRNA from 1 species